AUUGAACGCUGGCGGCAUGCCUUACACAUGCAAGUCGAACGGUAACAGGUCUUCGGAUGCUGACGAGUGGCGAACGGGUGAGUAAUACAUCGGAACGUGCCUAGUAGUGGGGGAUAACUACUCGAAAGAGUGGCUAAUACCGCAUGAGAUCUACGGAUGAAAGCAGGGGAUCGCAAGACCUUGUGCUACUAUAGCGGCCGAUGGCAGAUUAGGUAGUUGGUGGGAUAAAAGCUUACCAAGCCGAGGAUCUGUAGCUGGUCUGAGAGGACGAUCAGCCACACUGGGACUGAGACACGGCCCAGACUCCUACGGGAGGCAGCAGUGGGGAAUUUUGGACAAUGGGCGAAAGCCUGAUCCAGCAAUGCCGCGUGCAGGAUGAAGGCCUUCGGGUUGUAAACUGCUUUUGUACGGAACGAAAAGCCCCGGGUUAAUACCCUGGGGUCAUGACGGUACCGUAAGAAUAAGCACCGGCUAACUACGUGCCAGCCGCCGCGGUAA
rnacentral:rRNA from 1 species